rnacentral:rRNA from 1 species
UACGUAGGGGGCAAGCGUUGUCCGGAAUCAUUGGGCGUAAAGCGCGUGUAGGCGGUCCGGUAAGUCCGCUGUGAAAGUCGGGGGCUCAACCCUCGGAUGCCGGUGGAUACUGUCGGGCUUGAGUACGGAAGAGGCGAGUGGAAUUCCUGGUGUAGCGGUGGAAUGCGCAGAUAUCAGGAGGAACACCAAUAGCGAAGGCAGCUCGCUGGGACGGUAUUGACGCUAAGGCGCGAAAGCGAGGGGAGCAAACAGG